UACAGAGGGCGCGAGCGUUGUCCGGAAUCACUGGGCGUAAAGGGCGCGUAGGUGGCCACUAUAAGGCCGCGGUGAAAGUUCGGGGCUCAACCCUGAAUCUGCCGCGGCGACUGUAGGGCUAGGGCACCGUAGAGGCAGAUGGAAUUCCGGGUGUAGCGGUGGAAUGCGUAGAGAUCCGGAAGAACACCGGUGGCGAAGGCGGUCCACUGGCUCGGUACUGACGCUGAGGUGCGAAAGCGUGGGGAGCAAACAGG
rnacentral:rRNA from 1 species